rnacentral:lncRNA from 1 species
UUCUGUCCUUCUUCAGAUGUCAUGCCUAAAGAUGUCUCUACCACUAACCAGGAUGAAACAUGUAAAGCCUGAGGAGAACCAGUUCAACAAAGUUUACAAACCCAAGUGAUAGGACCAAGCUUUAAGCUAAAAGAUGGGAGGUAGUACAAGGAAGAAAUUCUUUAGAGGAUGGUGAGGCCCUGGUACAGUUUACUAGAGAAGCUAUGAAUGCUGUGUCACCAAAGAUGUUCAAGGUCAAAUUGCAUGGGCCCUGGGAAACCUUGUCUACUGUGAGAUGUCCCUGCUUAUGGCAAAGGAGUGAAUCAUAAUUUUCUGUGCCCAAAUUACUGUAGAGUAGGAAAGAUGGAGGGAAGACUUGAUCUUUCUGGAGUGUUAAAUUGUAUGAAUGAGAAAGGGAUAAAUUGCUUUUCAUGUAAACUUUGGAAACUUUGGAUAAGAUAAUAAAGGUUUAUAAGGAACUCAAGCUUUCCCAGAAAAAAAAAAAAAAAAAAAAAAGCUAACUGCUUGACUGCUUGACUAUGACAGACUGAAGAGAAGAAAAAGUUUAGCAGGAUAAACAUAAUCCUAACAGUUUCAUCAUAGUAAAAAAGAGAUUUAGGAAAGUAUGGCAGAGGAGUUCAGAAUAUAUAUUCUCCUGUUUGUUUUCUUUCAGUUUUUUCAGACUUUUUAAAGGGGCUUUUAAAAAGUUAUAGAUACAAAUGCAUGUUCAUAUUUUAAAAGAAAACAAUCCAGUUGGAAAGAAAAUCUAAAGAAUAUGAUACAGAGGAAGUGAAAGAACAAUAUGAAGAAAUCUGGGCAGUAAACUUGGGGUAAGGAAAAAAAAAUGGAGGAAGUUGUAUUUACGGCAAAAGGAAAGAAAUAAUGAGAAAUCUAAUCAGACAGUUUCUUCUGAGACUGCAAGAAGCAGCUAUUUCCUAGAAGAGGAAAAAUUUGGAGAAAAGAGAAAGCAAGUAGUGACAUAUGCAACUCAUCAAGGCUGAAACCAUCAAAUUGUCAGCCUCACUGCCAAAGAUCAAUUCAAAACUCUGAGAAGUGUGAUGAGGUAGGUUUUCCAUCAUUAAAAUUCUUCAGCACUGUCAAAAUGUCAUGGGCUUUUAUUUAAUCUGUUUAUGACUAGCAGGAGUUAAUGGGAUUGUGUGGUAAAAUGGGAUUUUCUAGAAAGCUACAAUGUUGCGAUUUUCAAAAAUAAGUUUAAGCAAGCAGUAUUAGAAAUCUGUUAUUAGCACAGCG